rnacentral:rRNA from 1 species
AGCAUGAACACAGGUGGGUGCAUGGCUGUCGUCAGCUCGUGCCGUGAGGUGUUGGGUUAAGUCCCGCAACGAGCGCAACCCUUGUCUUUAGUUAAAUUACUCUAGAGAGACUGCCAAUGAUAAAUUGGAGGAAGGUGAGGAUGAAGUCAAGUCAGCAUGCCCCUUAUGUCCCGGGCUACAAGCGUACUACAAUGGAUGAGACAAUGAGAAGCAAACCUGCGAGGGGGAGCAAACCUCAAAAACUCAUUCCCAGUUCGGAUUGCAGACUGCAACUCGUCUGCAUGAAGGCGGAUUCGCUAGUAAUCGUUGGUCAGCUAUACAACGGUGAAUACGUUCUCAGGUCUUGUACACACCGCCCGUCACACUAUGGAAGUUUACCAUACCCAAAGCCAUUACCUUAACCUUUUGGAGGGGGAUGUCUACGGUAGGGUCAGUAACUAGAGUGAAGUCGUAACAAGGUAAAUCAC